rnacentral:lncRNA from 1 species
UCAUAAUUACAACAUAGGUUUAAGAAGCUUUGUAUGAUUUGCUGUUGGAGUUGAACGUAAUUAACUCUCAAUUUAAUUUCUGUGUCAAAAAUGAUAAAAUUGAUUUGAGCAAAUCUGGUCGCAUUUCAGUUUCAUUGGUCAACUCAGGGUCUAAUCUAAUGAAAUGAUGCUGUGGGAUUGGCAAACUUUCCUUUUCUUGACGUCUUUUAAUAUCUUCUGUGCAAGGGCUGGAUGAUGCAUGCAUUAAUUAUUCUUCCGGAAUUACAGGUGGAACGUUAAUAUCUUCUGUGCAAACUGCAGAGCAGUGUUUGGAAUGCACGUAAGCCACCAUAUCUGCAAGAAAUUAUUCAUUCAACUCACAAGUACAAUGUGAUAAGAAGAUGGGAAAUCCCGUGAUGACUUUAGUUCAGUUCCCAGGUGAAAUCAUUUCUUCUUCUUCUUGUUUUUGUUUUUUUUUUUGGGGGGGGGGGGGGGGCGCUAAAAAUGAAGGGGUUUAUAACUAAGUCUGGAUAUGAUCAAGAAACAUAUAUAUAUGUUUCAUGUUUGAGAGAGAGAGAGGAGAAAAUGAAUGAUGCUUUGUAUAUAUUUAUGCUUUGUUCCAGCAAAAUUUUGAUCAUCAGGCAAGUAUUUGAGCAACAGUAGUAGAAUGGCCUUGAUGGCUGACGUCUCCAGGACCUAGCUAGAAAAUUCUUAUUCUCAAAUUGAAACUUCAAAUGGUCAUUUCUAUUAAGAAACCAACCUUUUGGAGAAAACACAAAGAAAUUCCAAGUAUACCUGAAAUCAUUUUGCUACAAUUUCGCACCCUGGUAUCAAUUUUUUUUCGUUUUUUGGCUUCUGAAUCACUUAACUGUUGAAUAUUCUUCGAUCUUGAAUAAUAAGCUUCAAUUGUUCAAUAAAGGUAAAGAACCUCGUCCAACACUUGCUGCAUACUGAAAAAUUUUGCUGAGGGAAAUGCAAGAUGUGGUAUAAAAGGAUGGAUUGUCCCAAGCACACAUGGUCAUUAUCGUUUGUCGAGAUCAUCUUCUUCACUAAACCAAGAAGGUAAUGGCACAGAUGGAUCAACUAAGUCCAAGAUUUCAAUACUUGGUACCAUCUGAGGCUCAAGAGAAUCAAGAAUUGCAAGAAGAUCAGCCACACGAGGUCCUUAAAAGCUGUCUGAAAUCAGGUCCAAUUGCCCGAAACCCAGGCUUGGCAACUGCCAGCAUGCAACUUUUCCAGUUUUGAUUUCAGUCUCAACUAUAUAUUGAUGCUCAAUCCCAAGCUCAUGAAACACUACUAGUACUUUGAAUCCAUGUAUGCAUUACAAUUUUACAUUAAUUAUUUUAGUUCUACCGACCUUUCAAUCCAGACUUCAUUCACUUAAUAAUACUCAAUGCUUCGAAUUCUUUGUCGUGUCACGCAUUGUCCAGAGCUAAGCCAAGAAUCCAUGCGAUUCCGUUUCUAUAGGUUCGUAUCAGAAGCAAACAAAUUUUUGGAGACUUCAACGAUCGCAGCAGACAAGAGAGGAUAAAAUUUUAC